rnacentral:rRNA from 1 species
AGCGAACGCUGGCGGUAUGCUUAACACAUGCAAGUCGAGCGCGAAAGUGACUUCGGUCAUGAGUAGAGCGGCGGACGGGUGAGUAACACGUGGAUAAUCUGCCUUUAGGACUGGGAUAACCCUGGGAAACUAGGGCUAAUACCGGAUAAGACCACAGGUUCCAUGGAACCAGGGGUAAAAGGCGGCCUUCGGGCUGUCGCCGAAAGAUGAGUCCGCGUCCCAUCAGGUAGUUGGUGAGGAACGGCUCACCAAGCCGAAGACGGGUAGCCGACCUUAGCGGGUGAUCGGCCACACGGGGACUGAGACACGGCCCCGACUCCUACGGGA